CUCCGCCGAGCCGACUCCCGCGCUUGCUGACUCCCGCCGGGCUCGGCGGUAGCGCUGGGUCUCCGGAGCUCGCUCGGCCUUUUGUGGCCGAGAUGCAGCCUGCCGAGCUGUCUCACGUGCCUCCAGUUUCUCCGCAGUUCUUUCAACUGAGAUACCAAGUGAGAAGUCACAUGAUCAAAGAGAUCAGAGCCAUGGUGUCAUGGAAAGGAGUAUACUUUGUACUUGCACUAUUCUUGGGAAGUUUUUUUGGAAGUAUAUUCAUGCUUGGUCCUUUUCUACCUUUGAUGUUUAUCUCGCCGGCCUGGUAUCGCUGGAUCACUGAUCGUGUAGUGGCCACUUGGCUCACGCUCCCAGUGGCCCUCCUGGAGAUGGUGUUUGGUGCCAAGGUGGUUGUCACUGGUGAUGGAUUUGUUCCUGGAGAAAGGAGUGUCAUUAUUAUGAACCAUCGCACACGAAUGGACUGGAUGUUCCUGUGGAGCUGCCUGCUGCGAUACAGCUACCUUAGACUUGAAAAAAUCUGUCUCAAAUCCAGUCUCAAAAGCAUUCCAGGCUUUGGCUGGGCGAUGCAGGUUGCUGCCUUUGUUUUCAUUCGAAGAAAGUGGGAAAAUGACAAGAGUCACUUUGAAAAAAUGCUGGAUUAUUUCUGUGACAUUAAGGAACCACUACAACUCCUCAUCUUUCCGGAAGGAACUGAUCUUACAGAUAUUCUCAAAUCAUACUUUAUUGCAAUGUCAGUUGGUCAUCAUUUCACUCUGGAGUACUUCAAGGUUAAAGCUAAGUGCAUCAAGCCAAUACCAAAGCCCGCAGUAAUGAAUUUGCUGAAAAGAACGGACUUCAAAAAUACGAGUACGUCCUGCAUCCACGAACUACUGGAUUCACUUUUGUUGUUGAGCGUCUAAGGGAAGGGGAAAAAAAUGUUUGGUCAAAUACCAUUGUGCAGUGCUUGAACAGCUUGGUAAGAGGACACCAUGAUGACUUCUCCAACCCUAUGUACCACCAAAAUAAUUCUUCCUCCAGUGUGUCCAGCAGGAUGGAUCCCACCCCAGGAUGGAUCCCACCAUAACUCAGGUAGGUAUCAUCAUCUCUAUCUGGACCUCACCGCUUCAGAUCCACAUGCCAGAACGUCAUGCUCCAUCCAUCUGAACUCCUGUGUUAUACAUGAUAUGGUACAUCCCUGGAUUAAUGGAGCCUUCACCUAAUCAGAACAUUUCUUUUCAAAAAAGAGAAACAAUCAGUUCCUGACCUAAAUAUUCCUACUGCUAUCUUUCUGCCGCUGUGUACACUUCGGCCUCAGGCCUUUCUAAAGGCUCUCCUGUUCAGUCAAAAGUAAAAGGGAGUUUUGGAAAUACUGACCACUUUUUAAAUCUUAUUUGCUCUCCUCUCGACUUACUGCGGGGCUAGAGAAAGAAAUAACUCUUCCAUGCCUCACUGUUCCCAACAGAGCAACAGAAUCAUUUUAUCCGUAAAGUGCCUUGAAAGGCAUGAAUAUUUGUCUAAAAGCCUAAUGACAAUUAGUUUUUGUUAAUGCUAUUUUAGAAGUACAUUAUUAUACAGAAAUAUCCAAAGGCUCUUGCACAAUAUCUCACACAAAAUUGCCACCUCAGUAACAGCAGUCUUUUAAUCAGAGAAAUUAUUGUGGUUUUUUAUUGUGUAACUCAUGAAUCCCUCUAAUGUAGGCCAGUGGGAAUAUGUGCAAUUCACUGCUGUCCCAGCAGCAUGGAGGGCAGAUCCUAGGGGCACAGCAGUGUGAAUAUCAUGUGGUUUCCUGAAUCCUUCAGCAGCUUUGCAAACACCUUCUGGCUGUUUCCUUCCACAAUAUGGCACUUCUAGCAAAGCUGUUUGCUCAGCUAUUGCCUCCUGGACAUGACUGUCUCAACAGCAGGACACUGUCCCAGCCUCGGGGAGGAGGUGAGUAAAAAGAUCUCAAAGUGAAAUUGCACUAUGGUAAAAAAUACAGAAAAUAUUUUUACAAAUAUGGUUUAAUGGAAACAGGAUUCUUCUAUACCAUGCUCUGAACUUUGCUUUUAAAAACAGUCCAUUGUCUGUGAAGAAGUACCUGCAAUGUUUUGCCUUCAGGUGUCAGUGGCAGAGAUGAGUGAUUGCAGAUAUCUGCCUUCCUAGAACUUGUUCAUAUUAAAUAGGAGGGCUGGAUCCAUUGCCUGCUGAAAGAGCUGAGCCAAAAAGGCCUUUUCUCAUAUUUGUUAGCAUGAAGUUGUCAGAUAAGUUGUCCCUUAAUGUCUGGAGGGAAACAGCGUUUACACAUCCACCAAAAAGUUAGCUCUGCUGGCACCAGGAGCAGAAACAAGGCUUUCAGGAAAAACCCAUGAAUGGGGUAACCCAGGGUGUUAUGUGCAAGUAUGCUGAGAUCUCUUAGCUCUCUCCUGCCUGUCUGGUGUGAAGUACAACACAGACCUUCCCAAGUACCCAUUGUUUGGUUUGAGGGCAGUGAGACACAGAAACCUCCCCAGAGCAUCUCUGCAGCCAGCAGGUCGAGCUCAGGCACACGGGGCGCUUUAGCAUGGGCGCUUGCUGGAGGGGUCAGUGCUUGCACCAAGAAGCCUUCAGAGGUGGCACAGAAAGUGCUGCUUUUGUACACAGGCCCAAACACAGCCUACUUGUGCAAUACCUCAUACUUCUUGGGUACUCUUUCUUUAUCCCAGCCAUGACAUGGAGUGACCAACUGCCCCAGCAAAAUUCAAAGGAGAGUUUCUUACUGCCUGUUUUUGGGAAGGCAAAAAUUAUGUCACAAAAUCACAGAAUCACAGAAUGGUGGGGGUUGAAAGGGACCUCUGGAGAUCAUCUAGUCCAACACCCUGCUAGACCAGAAUCCCCUAGAGCAGAUUAUACAGGAAUGAGUCCGGGAGGCUUUUAAAGAUCUCCAGGGAUGGAGACUCCACAGCCUCCCUGGGCAGCUUGUUCCAGUGCUCUGUUACCCUCAGAGUAAAUAAAUAUUUUCUCAUAUUCAGGUUAAAGCUCUGGUGUACCAGUUUGUGACCAUUACCCCUUGUUCUGUCACUGGACGCCACUGAGAAGAGCCUGGCCCCAUCCUCCUGACACCCACCCUUUAGAUAUUUAUAAGCAUUAAUAAGAUUCCCCCCUCAGCCUCCUUUUCUCUAAGCUAAACAGACCUAGCUCUCGUACCUUUCUUCAUAGGGCAGAUGCUCCAGUCCCUUAAUCAUCUUUGUGGCCCUAUAGUUCUUUGCCCUGCUUGAACUGCAGAUUCCUGAGCUGCACACAGCACUCCAGCACCUCGGCCACAAGUGGUGACCCCGACCUGAUAGGUAUCGGUGACUCCGGACCUGAGAGCAGUUGGUGGCAGUGCCCAGCUAAGCAAAAAAAAAGGGCAGAUCAAGAGUCUAGUCUGGACAGAGAAGAAAUACACACCUUGGGAGCCAAAGGUGAGCAGCUGGGAACAUAAAUAUGGGGGCGAAGAUGUCGGCAGAAGAGAAGUCUAUAUUAACCAUAUUGCUAACAAUACUGGAAAAGAGGGGCAUAAAAUAGGGUGAGAGUGCGCUACGUACUUUGCUUGUGUGGUACAAGAAGAAUGGUGUGCAGGCUGAUUUAUAGACACAUGGGAGGAGGCGUGGUGUGCACUUUGGGAUGCAUCUUAAAACAUCUUAAGGCAGAUUGGGAAGCUGCAGCCACUGCAGCUGCAGCGCUGGCGGCGCCAGCCCCCAUGUAAAUGAAUUCUAAACCAGCUCCCAAGGCCCCUUCAUGGAUGGACGUGCCAUUUCCACCCCCUCCACCUCCUGAAGUGUGCUUGUUACCCUGUUACCCCCUGAGACAGACGAUGAGUUUAAUGAAGCAGCAGUAAGGGAACCUGUGAGUUUGUGUUUAAUAGAUCUAUCGGCCCCCCGGAGAGAAUGGGGGAGUGAAGUGUUUGCCCUCUGCCCCUCUUCUUCAGAAUUCGCUAAUUAUACAGCCUGUGGUUUCUGUCCCUGGGGGGAAUGACGGAGUGAAGUGUCAGCCCGCUGCCCACCCCCUGCAGAACUCGUUAACUGUACAGCCUGUGAUUCCAGCACCCAGAGGGAAUGACGGACUGACGUGUUUGCCCUCUGCUCUCCCUCUUCAGAACUGACUGACUAUACAGCUGGUUUCUGUAGCAAUUCAAGGUGCUGACCCAGGCAAAUUUGGGAACAAAUUGUAUGAGCAAGCUAAAGAGGCAGAAGUGGAACUGGCCGGUGAUAUUUUGGCUUCCUGUGUUAUUUGUGGUAAUGAGAAAGAACCGAAAGAGUGGGAUCCGUUUCACUGGAGUAUUAUACGUGAUUUGAGAACUUCGGUUAUGCAACAUGGAUUUACCUCCCAGUAUGUUCUAUCAUUGUUAUGAGUGAUUACGAGUCCUAAUGACCUAACUCCCUUUGAUUGUUGUAAUGUAGCACAGAUUUGCCUCACACCAGAACCUGAAAUAGCACUUAAAAAGGUGGAAAUUGCCAUUUAGAAAAGAAGGCAUAGGGAGUCGUUACUGUUAUUCCUCUUAGCUUGUAUGUCUUGUUGUCUCAUGAUCACCCGGUUGGGCUUAAUGCUUGAUGGUAUGAAGAAUGGGCAGAUCCAUUACACUUUUUGGAGUGGUUUUUUUGCCGUUUCAGAAGAAGAAAACUGUGACCUCUCAGACUGAACUGAUUGCACAGGUAAUUUGUAAGGCCAGGUGACGCUGUGUCCAAUGAUCUGGACGAGACCCUGCAAUUCUCACUUUGCCUCUCACUUUUGAACAUCUGGAGUGGUGUUUAGCUAAUAGUGCUGUGUUGCAGAUGGCCAUGUUAAAUUUUCCUGGUCGGGUUUUGUUGCACCACCCUGCACAUAACUUUCUCCAGAUUGCACCUAGAGCUGAUGUUAGCAGAACCUUUCUUAUAUUCCCCAAAGCCCCUCAAAGGGCACACCGUAUUUACAGACAGAGGAGGAAAAACAGGGAAAGCAGUUGUUACUUGGAAAGAGGAUGGCCACCAAAAUGGAUCUCCACAACUAGUGGAGUGGCAUGCUGUUAUCAUGGCAUUUGAAGCUUAGCCACAUGAAAAUCUCAAUGUGGUGUCAGAUUCUCAGUAUGUGUGCAAUACUGUCCAACGGCUUGACCGGGCUGUCUUAAAGGAGGUAAAUAACAAAGCAUUGUUUCAUGUUUUAAAGGCUUUAUAGUAUGCUUUACAGUGCAGAACCGCAACCUUUUAUAUCUUGCAUGUUCGCAGCCCACUAACAUACAGGAUUCAUUGUGGAAGGAAAUGCCCAAGCAGAUAUGUUAACUGCCCCAGUGUGGGCAGCUCCUGUACCAGAUACUGUGAAGCAAGCCAUACAAUUGCACAGCUUUUUUUUUCACCAAGGUGCUCUCCCCCUUCAACAUCAGUUUAAUAUUUCUUCCACAGCGGCACAAGAUAUUGUGGCCACCUGUUCAGACUAUCAGCAACAUAUUACACUCUCAACCGAAGGUGUUAAUCCCCGUGGCUUAAAAGCGUUGCAAAUCUGGCAAUCAGACAUGACCCAAUUUGGUCACUUAAAGUAUGUACAUGUUUCUGUAGAUAACUUUUCUAAAGCUUGUUUGGCUUCUGCCCAUACUGGAGAAAGAGCCAGGGAUGUUGUAGCACAUUGGUGUGGUGCUUUUGCUGCCCUAGGCACCCCGGCCACCAUAAAAACAGACAAUGGCCCCGGCUAUACUGCUAGCCGGACUCAACAGGUUUUGCAAUUAUGGGAUGUUCAGCAUAUUACGGGCAUUCCUCAUUGUCCCACAGGUCAAGCUAUUGUUGAGUGUGCACAUUGGUCAGUCAAGGUGUUGCUUGAAAAACAAAAAAGGGGGAAUGAUGGGUGAAACUCCACAAGCGCGAGUGUGGAAAGUGGUAUAUACCAUGAAUACCAUUAACUGCGCUCCUUCUAGCACAGUACCUAUUCUUAUAACUCAUUUUUCUUCUUUGCAUUCUGACAGGGAUGUAGUGCGAUCGCGUGCCCCUGUUUGGGUUUGUAACCUUCAGACUCGAGUUUGGGAAGGUCCCUUGGACUUUGUCACCUGGGGGAGAGGUUAUGCUUGUGUUUCCACAGAUACUACGAUUUGUUGGGUACCUGCUCGGUGUGUAUGCCCUGUCCUGGAAGCUAACCUUUGGGACGACAGAAUUAAUGGCACCUCGCCUGAUGCCAUGGAACAGUAAAGAUAUAUGGGUAUCAUUGUUACAUGCCAUGAAUCAAACUAAAUUUUGUACUUCAAUAGCCCAGAUUGAGUAUCCUUUUCAUCAGCAGGAAAACGAUUUUAAUUAUACCCAUCACUAUAGGAAAAAAGAGAAUUGUAACAGAUAGUGUUGAAUUGCAUUAACACAGUAGAUUUGUGGAAUGCUAGGGAGCGCUUUGCUGUUAGUUUAUAUUUGCUUCAGGUUGUGGCCGCAAACGCAAAUGCAAACGCAAAAGCUAACCCUAACGCAAAUGCUUUGAUAAAAUUGAAUAAGUUAUCGUGCUUUGUGGUAAAAGGAGCUAAUGAGAUUUCUGAAUUAUUGAGUGUCUUAGUAACUUUUAUAGAUGGUAUUUGCCGUGUUGCUUUGUAGAAUUGCGAGGCUAUUGAUUUCAUAUUGUUAGCUUGUGGACGCAGAUGUGAAUCUUUGACAGAAUGCAGAUUUGAAAAAGAAAGCCAAUCCACAAAGACACCAGGAACUGAGUGACACCACCAGAAGGAUCACAGAAGAUAACGGAUUUUUUGAACUCAAUAAAUGGUUAAAAGGUUGAAAUAUAUCAGGAUGGGUUAAAAGCUUGUUGCAAACAGGAUUGUCAAGAUUAUGUGUAAUCACUGUCAUUUUGUUGGUAGGGCCGUGUUUGCCGUCUACUCUGCAAAGAGCCCUGCAGAGGAUGGUAAACACAACCCUUGUUGUUGAAAAGCAAAAAAGGGGGAAUUGUGGACAAUCAGCUGUGGGCCCCAGGAGGCCUUGAUCUCGACAAACUACAGCUGUACUCUUGACAGUUAGAGACAAACAUUUGUGGGAAAAGAAGGUAUGCGAGAUACGGAUGGGUGUUGAUGUUCUUGUAAGAAAAUGUCACAAACUUGUAACCUGUCACAAAAUAGCAAACAACGUGUGACCAGAAGCUGUUAACAAAUGGGAAGGAAGCAUAAAGCGCAUGGACGGGAGAAAAGGUAUGAGAAUGCUAUGUAACCUAAAAUAAAUUGCUGAUACUUGUGACCAUCAUGGUGUGUCAGUCGCGUCUCGGCUGCAUUAACCCUAGCCCCUAGACUUUUAGCCCUAGUGCCUAGACCUUUAACCUUUGCUUUUUAACUCUAGACGCUAGAGCACUAACUGUAGAACCUUAACCCUAGAUACUUAAAACUUGUCUCUUAACCUUAGUGCCUUGCCCAUUGCCCUCAAACUCUAGACAAUUCACCCUAGAUCUUUAAGGCUGGACCCUUAACCCUUGCAGCUUAACCCUAGACCCUCGUAUAUUGUCACUUAACCCUAGACCUUUAACCCUUAAACCUAGACCCAUUUCCCUUCGUCCUUACUGUUAGAGCCUAGCAGUCUGCCCUAGACCCUUAGUCCCUGACCCUUAACUCUAGACCUAAUCUCUUGCCUCUUAACCCUAGAUCUUUAACCCUAGGUCCUUAACCCCUGACCCUUAACCUUUGUCUGUUAACCUUAGACCCUUAACUCUUGCUCCUUAAUCCUAGUCUCUAGACCUUUAAGACCUAAUUAAACCCUUGGGGCUUAAUGUUAGACCCUAGACGUUUACCCUUGGAUCCUUAACCUUAGACCCUCAACCUUAGUCCCUAGACCUUUAACUCUUAAACCUAUACCCUUAUUGCUAGGCACUAAACAGCAGUCUCUUAAUACUAGAUGCUUAACCCUAGACUCUAGACCCUUAACCCUUGCCCUGUAACCCUAGACUCUUGCCCCCUAACCCUAGACACUUCACCCUAGAUCUUUAACUCUGGAUCCUUAAGCCUUACACCUUAACCCUAGAACCUUAUCUCUUCUUAUUAACCUAUUAGCAUCUAUUGACUAGGGUAAAACAGAAGGGUUAAAUGGCAAGGUUUAAGAGUGAUGCUCUUGGAUGCUUAUACCUAGAUGCUUAUCUCUAAACUGUUAACCCUAGACCUUUAACACGUGAUGCUUAAGCCCUGAACCUUAAGCCUAGAUCCUAGAAAAUUAACCCUUGCCCCUUUAUCCUAGACACUAGAUCCUUAGACUUUUAACUCUUAAACCUAGAUGUUUAACGAUCUAGGCACUGAAGCUCAGACCGUUAACUCCAGACCUUAACACUAGAGACUUAGCUCUUGUACAGGAAAAAAACCAACUCCUCUGGUUAAGGCAACAAAACCAAGCAUGCGCACAAAUGUCAGAUGAUUCCCAAAACUUGCCACAGAUCUUACAGUACAGAUCGAGGGACACUGAUAACAAUUAUAUACAGAGGAAACCUUAAACCAAUGACAUUCCCUACCGACUCGGCACACCACUCUCGCUUCAUGCUCCAGUGUAUGUCUGCUUUUUAUUAAGUCUUUCAUGCUUCUCGACUCGUCUGCAGUUUGAGACUCUCUUCAACACAACCUGCCAAAAAUCUAAGGGAUAAACAAUAAUUUAAAACAACUCAAAAAAAACCAAACCCCACAAACGUUUAUCCAAAUCCUAGGCUCAGGCAGAGUCACUUUACCGGUUCCAAAUAACCUCAGGCGAGGGAGAGAAAAAUCCCUGUAGUUUUGUCCGGCAAGGGAGCAAGCGGUUCCUUGCCAGUCAACUUACCAACAUUCCAAAGGAACUUAUUAUAAGCAUUCAUUAUAUGUAUUACCCAA